ensembl:lncRNA
CUCAGGCCUCCUUGUGUCCCGAGCUCCGGGUCCAGACCGCUGCCCCCCCCUCGGGAGAAGACGGCGGUAACGCACGCCCUCGCUGCACCGAAGACACAAACGCUGGACGACGGGAGAAGGAAAAGUGCGCCGAUGGCGGGAAGGCGCUCUGCUGCUGUUGUUGUUCCCUGUCCUCCACCCUCCGCUGCCCCACCGCCACGCACCGCCAACCCAACACCGCCCCGCCAAAACUCCCCGCACGGCGACUUCGAGAGGCGGCGAAGAAGCCGGUCGGCAUCUCCCUGCGACGAGCCACCUGCCCCGGGGGGGGGCGUUGAAGUCCGUGAGACGGCUCCGCGACCCGCCGCCGCGUCCCCCCACCCGGGCUGCCGGCUGCCUGCGGAGCCGAAUGGAUCGGAAGCGCCACCGCCGCCGGCGGCCUCCUCCUCCUCCUCCAUCUCACACGGGUCGCUCUCAGAUUUCAGCCGCCCACCGUCCAGCCGGUUCAGCCGCAGCACCGACCUCGCCAGCGGCCGGAGCAGCGUCCUGUCCGGCGCAGAUCUCGGAGACUCGGAGCCAGGAGGCGGCGUUUGCUCCUCACCGCUCCAGCCUCGCCCGGUGACGGGGUCACCCUCGGCUCCUCGCCCUCCGCCGGCAUCCCACCCUCGCCAACCAUCCGCCGAUGCUUCGGCCACCCCUCUCCUCUACGAACCGCUAUUUGGGCAAACCCGACCCCUCUCGCCGCCGUCGACGUCAGGUGGGCUUCGUCAAUCAGAUAACCCUCCGAGCAGGAGCGAAAGCCCCGAUGCGACAAAGUAUCUCCAACCAGUUCCAUCAGAAGCUCCUGGUCCCCACCCAUCCAUGGCCUCCGACCGCGGCCUCGUCGGCCUGGCUUUCCCCUCCGCCACCUGGUCCUCCUGCCCGAGUCCGCAGAGGACCACUCCCCGCUCCUCGGGGUCAGGACCGGCUCCGACCCCUCCUGCGUCGGCGCCCCGUCUGGAGUCUCGUCGCUGGUCCCCGCUGCCUCCCAUCUCCCCUGUCGGAGGACGCUGUGGCACCGCAGCAUCCCGCUACUCCGAGCUCAGCUGCACUCAGUCCCGCGCGUUCGAUGAGCUGGAGGCCAUCGCCCCUCGCUCGCUGUCCUCCCCGUCUCUGGACCGGCUGUCGGACUCCUCCGGGUGCCCUUCACCUGACACAGCAGAGCUGUCUCCGGGCCUGGCGGCGCUGACGGUGGGCUGUGACUCCGGGACCCUGGGCUCUCUGUCCCGGGUGCAGCUGCUCCUCCUGGACCGGCCGCAGCCCGACACCCGGCCGGGUCUGUUCGGCCCGGAAGAGGAGCUCUCGCCGGUGCAAGACUGGCCUCGUCUCGCGAUGCAACAUGAAGGUGGCGUGAGGCCCCGCACAGCUGGCGGCGUCUCUGAAAGGUGUGACUCCGCAGGGAAAGUCCACGAAAACAAAUCGGAGGGGUCCGAAGACGGUUUCUGGCUCUCCGUCUUCGUGGAUCAUCGACCCGGAGUCCAUCGCUCGCCAUGUUCAGAUCCGCCCUCUCCCCUUGCGUGUCCGAUCUCGGUUCCAGCGGAGGGGAAGGGGGCCCCGCCGAGGAGGAGGAGGAGGCCAAUUAUCCGGGAUGGGGGCAACAAGUCGAAUCCUCAGCCGCAGGACGGAGGCCCGCGAGCCUUGAUGGCAGAAGUGAGGAGAGGAAGCGGAGGAUGGAGGAGAGGAAAACAAAGGUGCUGAGCUUGCUCUCCAAGCUGCAGGACGACGGGCCGCGGCAGCCAAAGGGCCACCGGAGCUGCUCCAACUUCCAGGACUUUGACUUUUUGGCAAAGUAUUGCAUUUUCAGUCAGGAGAAGCUGGCCGAGUACAAAAGGGCUUUUGAAGCAGUAAGUGAAAAGGCAUUCAAGCCCUUUAUGUCGGGGUUGUUCUCUGUCACUCACUGUAAUAUCUCGUCGUCUUUGGGGAAUUAAACUGAACCACUGCUCUGGUUGAUGAAGGUGAUGAUGAUGGUGAUGAUGAUGAUGAUGAUCUUUCCUGGCAG